UCCGUGGUGGUCUAGUGGGUAAGACUCUGUGCUGCAAUGCAGAGGGCCAGGUUCAAUCCCUGGUCAGGGAA
rnacentral:tRNA from 1 species